CAGUCGCCACGGGAAUACGGAGGGUGCAAGCGUUAAUCGGACUUACUGGGCGUAAAGCGCACGCAGGCGGUUUGUUAAGUCAGAUGUGAAAUCCCCGAGCUUAACUUGGGAACUGCAUUUGAAACUGGCAAGCUAGAGUCUUGUAGAGGGGGGUAGAAUUCCAGGUGUAGCGGUGAAAUGCGUAGAGAUCUGGAGGAAUACCGGUGGCGAAGGCGGCCCCCUGACAAAGACUGACGCUCAGGUGCGAAAGCGUGAGGAGCAAACAGGAUUAGAGACCCCUGUAGUCCCUGUCUCUUAUACA
rnacentral:rRNA from 1 species